CCCUUAGAUGUUCUGGGCUGCACGCGCGCUACACUGACACGUUCAACGAGUUGUUGCCUGGGCCGAGAGGUCUGGGAAAUCUUUUGAAAUCGUGUCGUGAUGGGGAUAGAAUAUUGUAAUUAUUGCUCUUCAACGAGGAAUUCCUAGUAAGCGCGAGUCAGCAGCUCGCGCUGAUUACGUCCCUGCCCUUUGUACACACCGCCCGUCGCUCCUACCGAUGGGGUGAUCCGGUGAAUGAUUCGGACUUCCGCUUUGCUAGCCACUAGUUUUGCGGAAGAAAGUCUUGUGAACCUUAUCACUUGGAGGAAGGGGAANUCGUAACA
rnacentral:rRNA from 1 species